UUUACAAGUCAUGGACAGACUUUAUGUUGUCUUCAUUUCCUUAUCAUUGGGAGUAUUCCGAGCUCAGAAUUUUCCCAGUGCAAAAAAAAGGCUCUGAAGAGCCGGACCUGGGAACCUGGCCAGUUCCCUGAUCCAAUUUUUGGUAAACACCUCAAGGAUGUUAGUUACAUGAUAAAGACAUGGACAGUGUCCUGACUUGACCCUUCUUUGUUUUAAAAAGUAUAAAAGAUUGUUUAGCAGAAGCCGAACUGAGCUUCGAUGGUGAUUUGGUUUGGACUUGCGAAAACCCGUGCUGCUUUACUGCCGGUGUUGAAGUUUGUGAGCGUCUCUAGACGCUCACGUGCCUACUGACUCUAUUGAAUGUAUUUACAAUAAGAAGACUGACCAAUUAACUAAAAUUAGCUCUAAUACUUACCCUGAAGAUCAUCCCAAGUGCGCAAAAUGGGUGCAUGAACACACUGGACACGCAGGAGCCAAAGCUAUGUACAGAGUGCCAUUACAAAUACAAAGUGACAACGGAUCUCAUUUUAAAAGUAAGUUAAUUACUGAUUACUGUGCUCAAUAUAAUAUAGAAUGGAUUUAUCAUAUACCCUAUUACCCACAAGCAGUAGGCCUCAUUGAAAGGAUGAAUGGGUAAUUAAAGGAAAAACUACGGAAAUUAACCAAUCCAAUGUAUUCAGGAUGGAAAACCUUUUUAUUACCAGCCUUACAACAACUUAAUAAUAGACCCCUAACUAGUGGCCAAACCCCGUUGCAACGGAUGAUAUAUUCCUCUAAUACAGUUGAGAUCAGAUCCCAAGUAACACAUGAGCCUGUAACUAUCUCCUGGUGGAGAUUCCACCCAGAUGCAAUACAACCUUGGAAUGCUACUAGUUCUGCUGCAGGUUGAUUUAUUUAACUACUCUGUAACUAAAUUAAAUAGCAAAACUCAACAUGUAAUACCCACUGGAAUAGGUUUUCAGUUGCCUUCAGGAUAUUAUGGACAAAUAGCUGCUCGAUCUAGUCUUGCACAAAAAGGAAUGACAAUCUUAGGGGGAAUAAUUGAUGCAGAUUAUUACGGUGAAAUCAAAGUGCUUCGUUAUAACCUUGGUGAAGAAGAUAUCAUCUUGCCUAAAGGCCACCGAAUGGCACAACUAUUAAUAAUUCCAGUUUUACAAAACACAGUAUGGGAAUCACAAAGGUUCCCUCCAAAAUCAGCUCAUUUAGGAUUUGGCAGUACUGAUGAAAAGAAACAAAUAUCAGGUCAUGUUUGGGUACAAACAUCUCCCCAUAAACCAUUACAAGCUGGAGAGAUAGUAGCACAAGGAAGAAAUAACUGUGUAUAUGUCCUAAUUCCCCCUGCUGAUACUCCUAUAUUAGUACCUACUAAUCAUUUGUUUCAUCGUGUAUAGAUUUGUGUAUUUACAGGUAUUAUUGUUAGCACUCACUUCUGGAUUGCUUGGACCAUUUCCCCCGGACAAAUCUUGUCUCACCAAACUACUUCCAGCAAUGGACACAUGAUUCUACAGUUGGGAUGGGUCAACUCCACAAAAGUAAGAAGUCAAGACUCUUACAACUGUUCUGCUAAUCAAGUCUGUCACCAUACCAAUCUUACUAUUAGUGGAGAUACCAACACUACACUUACCUAUUGGAUGGGACAGAAACCUGCUCAAGGCAUAAUUUAUAGUGAUGAUAGUAUUACUAUUAAUGUCACUUCUAAAGUGAAUAUUUCCUGUUGUCAACAGAUUUAACUACUAUGCUAUGUCCCUAUCACGUGCUGCCAAUUCCAUAUCCUUAUUAUUAUUUGCAACCAGAAUUUUAUGGUACCCACAUUGACAAUAGAAAUAUAACAUAUAAAAUCAAUGAUUGUGCUGUAACUACAAAAGGAUUAGUAUGUACUGAUUUACAACAACAGAUGGAGCCAUAUCUAUUGCAUUUUUCUGUUAAUCAUUGUAUUUUUACCUUAUUACCAGUAAGUGAUUACACUGCCCUUUUUGAAGUCCAGCCCCAUACAUUAUAUAUUGUAUCCAAUCAAUCUGAAGUAUUGUCAUAUAUGCAAGUUGAUUUUCCAUUUGUUGGAUGUAUUUAUAAUAUCUCUAUUUUUCUCUGGCAUAAUUCUACUAUUUAUUUAACCCCAAUCAUUGACUAUGAAAAUAUCACUUUCACCCCAAUAAGCCUGCCCCAACCAAAGUUGGAAACCUAUUUAAAUCUAACUACUAUAUUAUAUAAAAAUAAAGCUUUAAAUCAGACAUUACAGAAAAGAGAUUGACAAUUAAGUGAAUAUAGACUACAAACCACCAUAGUAAGUCAUAAACUGCAGGACUAUUCCCAUGCUAUAGCGACAGAUAGUAAUCAUAACUGGUGGGAUUGGUUAUUCACACACUCAUCAGUGACAUAUAGAUUCAUCCCACUAUUCAUGAUUGUAUUCAUUUUAAUAGUUAUUAGUAUAUGUAGUUGUUGCUGUUCUUUGUACUUAUAUCAACGCAUUAAGAAUUUAUAUGAUGCAUUUACUUACAACUAUUAUGUGUAUAAUAAGUCUGCCCAUGCCUAGGGCCGAAUUGUAAUGGAACAGAAGGAGUUAAUUAAGUUUACAAGUCAUGGACAGACUUUAUGUUGUCUUCAUUUCCUUAUCAUUGGGAGUAUUCCGAGCUCAGAAUUUUCCCAAUGCAAAAAAAAAAAAGGCUCUGAAGAGCCGGACCUGGGAACCUGGCCAGUUCCCUGAUCCAAUUUUUGGUAAACACCUCAAGGAUGUUAGUUACAUGAUGAAGACGUGGACAGUGUCCUGACUUGACCCUUCUUUGUUUUAAAAAGUAUAAAAGAUUGUUUAGCAGAAGCCGAACUGAGCUUCGAUGGUGAUUUGGUUUGGACUUGCGAAAACCCGUGAUGCUUUACUGCCGGUGUUGAAGUUUGUGAGCGUCUCUAGGUAUCCUUGUAAAUAAACUCUUUUUCUCUAUAUA